rnacentral:rRNA from 1 species
CCUACGGGUGGCUGCAGUGAGGAAUAUUGGACAAUGGACGCAAGUCUGAACCAGCCAUGCCGCGUGCAGGAAGACGCCCCUAUGAGCUGAAAACUGCUUUAGCACGAGGGAAAACCCCGAUACGUGUAUCUGACUCCCCGUCUCGCUCGAAUAAGGCACGGCCAACGCUGCGCCAGCAGCCGCGGUAAUACGGAUGUAUCAAGCGUUACCCGGAUUUAGGGGGUUAAAAGGGUGCGUAGGCGGUCAGAUAAGUUAGAGGUGAAAUCCCGGGGCUCAACUGCGGGAUUGCACUUGAUACUGUUUGGCUGGAGGGUAGGUGCGGUAGGCGGAAUGUAUGGUGUAGCGGUGAAAUGCGUAGAGAUCA